CAUGUUUGAUAUGGAAACUGAAACACCGUCGUAAGGCCAGUGAAAAGGAAACUGGAAGAAUUAAGAUGGAUGUAAUGACGAGUCAAAAUUCAGAAAAGAAAGCUUUAUUACAGGAGAACGAAAAUGAGGACCAGGCUGAAGGAGGUACAACUCUAAUAGAAGAUAUUCUGAGAAGUUGGCAAGAGGACAAGAACUUUGUUCCGACAACGGCAAGCAAUUUGUAGAAGAAAAGAUUAAAAGUCAAAACCUGGUCACGGUUGUCGGUAAUUCUGGAUGCGGAAAAACGGCAAUGAUCCAACACAUUGCACUCAAGUUAAAAGAAGAACAGGGAUGGGAUAUUAAACAUGUCGAUGAGGUGAAA